CAGGUUGAUGCUUACUUAGCCUCCUGCCUGAUGAAGUUCUCAAUGGAAGUUUCAGUUGAUGGGACUCUUGAUCGAUGGAAACCACAGGAAUGGAGCAGAUACAUUUACGUUUCACAAGAAAUAAAGGUUGAGUCUUAUCGUAAUUAAAGAAAAGUUAUACUAGAAUGGUGUGGAGCAGAGUGAGGAUUCUUCUGAUUUGUGAUAUUCCCAUCAAACAAGGGUUUGGAGAAGAAAGCAGUGUGCAUCAUUCAAGAGUCCUCUGCCAGCAAGGCAGAUUUACUGUGUUUCUAACCAACCUUAAGUGCUGUGAAGGACAUGUAUAUGAACAUACACACAACUGAUUAAUUGUAAAAGGACAUAGAGUCAGUCAGGUGUUGGGAAGUACAAUACAACUUUCAGGAGAAGACAAGGAAACUGAAAACAAGUAUGGAUACUGUAGAUGAGUAAAUUUGAAGAAUUAGAAUGAGAAACAUAAGCAAGAAAGAGUUCAUCUACGGAUUCUAAUAUUCCUCCUAUUCAAGCACCAAGAUUUUAAACAUUUAUUUUGUUAUGCCAACACCUAGGAAAUUUGCCAUUAAAAAAUGAAUCAAAA